UACGUAGGGUGCAAGCGUUAAUCGGAAUUACUGGGCGUAAAGCGUGCGCAGGCGGCUUUGCAAGACAGAUGUGAAAUCCCCGGGCUAACCUGGGAACUGCAUUUGUGACUGCAUGGCUGGAGUGCGGCAGAGGGGAUGGAAUCCGCGUGUAGCAGUGAAAUGCGUAGAUAUGCGGAGGAACACCGGAUGGCGAAGGCAAUCCCUGGGCCUGCACUGACGCUGAGGAGCGAAAGCGUGGGGAGCGAACAGG
rnacentral:rRNA from 1 species